UCACUUACAGAUGGGCCCCCGGCGCAUUAUCUAUUUGGUGAGGUGACGGCUCACCAAGGCGACAAUGCGUAGCCGACAUGAGAGGGGGAUCGGCCACACUGGGACUGAGACACGGCCCACACUCCUACGGGAGGCAGCAGUAGGGAAUCUUCCCCAAUGGACAAAAGUCUGACAGAGCAACGCCGCGUGAGUGAUGAAAGUUUUCUGAUUGUAAAACUCUGUUGUUAGGGAAAAACAAGUUGGGUAGUAACUGACCUGACCUUGACAGUACCUAACCACAAAGCCCCGGCUAACUACAUGCCACCAGCCGCGGUAAUACAUAUGGGGCAAGCGUUGUCCGGAAUUAUUGGGCGUAAAGCGCGCGCACGCGGUCCUUUAAGUCUGAUGUGAAAGCCCACGGCUUAUCCGUGUAGAGGCAUUGUAAACUGUAGGACUUUAGUACACAAGAGGAGAGAGUAAUUCCCCGUGUAGCGCUGAAAUGCGUAU
rnacentral:rRNA from 2 species